rnacentral:rRNA from 1 species
UACGUAGGUGGCAAGCGUUGUCCAGAUUUACUGGGCGUAAAGGGCGUGCAGGCGGUCUGUUAAGUCUAGGGUGAAAGCUCCCGGCUCAACUGGGAGAGGUCCUUGGAUACUGGCGGACUUGAGGGAGGCAGAGGAAAGUGGAAUUCCCGGUGUAGUGGUGAUAUGCGUAGAUAUCGGGAGGAACACCAGUGGCGAAGGCGGCUUUCUGGGCCUUACCUGACG